GUAUUGUAAGAGAGGAGAAAAGGUUAGAACUCCCCUGGGCAAGGAUGGAAUAGGUCUGUGUGACCUUUACAACUCAUAAAUGGUUGAGGCUUCUUGACUAAUCUCAGGGCAAUUAUUAAGUUUU